rnacentral:rRNA from 1 species
GACGGGGGGGGCAAGUGUUCUUCGGAAUGACUGGGCGUAAAGGGCACGUAGGCGGUGAAUCGGGUUGAAAGUGAAAGUCGCCAAAAAGUGGCGGAAUGCUCUCGAAACCAAUUCACUUGAGUGAGACAGAGGAGAGUGGAAUUUCGUGUGUAGGGGUGAAAUCCGUAAAUAUACGAAGGAACGCCAAAAGCGAAGGCAGCUCUCUGGGUCCCUACCGACGCCGGGGUGCGAAAGCAUGGGGAGCGAACAGG